CGGGUUUCAGGCUUACAUCUUUCUUUUGCACCAUCUGAGGAAAAAAAAAAUUGAAUACAGGCUCCAUUUUGUAAGAUUAAAUGACAUAAUGGUCUUGCCAAUAGCUACCCCACUAUAAACCUAGUUUUAAGUUUGCAGGUAGAGCAGGAUGGAGUACUGGAGGAAAAGGCUUUGUAACUACUACACUUUGAGAAGGCACUAAUAUUCCUUUGAGAAUAGAUAUUUAAGUAUUAACUUCCUGUGCAUCUCUUUCACCAAGAAAUCUGAAAUUCAGCUACUCAAAGGUGGUAUUUCUGGGUUCAGACCCUGAGAUUCCUAACCAUGUCAUGCUAGCAGCCCCAAGUGCUUUCUGAACCAAGAAAAAUUUUUAUCUAUACCUUUACACUCAGAUGCUUACUAAAAAUAUGUUUUUAUGUACAACUCCCACUUUCACUAUUGUUUCCUUUUUCUGAGGACACAGAAAUGUAUCUGUGCUAUAGUUGCAAUAGUAUAGUAAGCAUCUAUAUGGCUAAGACCUUUACAAUGCUUAUGUCAUUCCCAUUCAGUUAAAUUUCUAAUAUCUGGUGGAAAAUCAUUAAAAAUAUCUAUGGCUGUUAUGCCACAGAAGUCUCCAGAAUGAUUCGAGCAACUACUUCUGCAGAUUCUUAACUGAUUUUUAAAAGACGCAUUUCACAUUCAUUACUUCUUAUAUACUGCAACUUAAUUUUUAUAUUUUGCUCUCAGAGAUCUCUUUUGACUUUCAGAUGCUAGCAGGUAAGCUAUGCAUCCUGAACGUGUAUCAGGGAUUCAAAAGGAAAAAAAAAUAAUCUUAUUUUCCCAUGAAUUUAAUUGCAGAUACAGUAAGAGAUGCUCCUCUUCGGGAUAUGAGGUCUUAUAUGCCUGCCCACUAUGGAAAGAUUUUAAAUAAUACAAUUUUUCUAUUUUUAGUUUCAUCUUUUAAUAGUUACGUGAAAGGAAUUUACUGUCAGAAGAUAUAGGCAUAGGCAGAAUGAAAUGAUUUGGCAUAGUUCUGGCACCACUUGUCUCAAACUGGUUUUGGAGCAAACGCCGUAUAAUAGGAGAUACACCUGCUCAGGACUUAAGUCAUGGCUAUUUUUUACACCCAGAGUAAAGUACAGAAUGCCAGGACUUCUGGUACUCUGUGUUAGCAUAAUAUUCCUAAAAGGAAUCAGAACAUUAACAAGUGGAUGCAAGACAUACUAAAAUAUGUUUUUGGAAUUCAGGUUACUUUUCUAGAUAGCCUCCAGUGACUCACAGUCAGUUCUUAAAACAAAGCAUUAUUUAUUUGCUCAAUUGCUACAUAGCAAACAUAGAAAGUGAAUGAAACAGCAAAAGAUUUAUGCCUUUACUAUUUAACCAUAGUUUUUAUUAUGAUUAUUAUUAUUAGUAGUAGUAGUAGUACAGCACAGAUAAUUCCACCCAGCUUGCUCGCAUAAUUCAUUGGUGAGAAUUAUCAACAGCUUUUGUGGAGCCAAAUACACUUCUUUCUCUAGCAUUUUACUUCAGCUGCUGCUACCUCUAUCAUUUCUUAGAGACUUUAAUAGAUUAUUGUCCCCUUUGAUCCCAGAUUUGGUCUUGCAAGAAUAAAUCUUGUUAGUUAACCUUGUCUGGUUUCUGUUAAUAGCGAGGUAUAGAGUUUUCAGGUUCUCUAGUGUCUCCACAAGGAUUCUUCAUAAAGUAGGUAAUUAUUAAAUUUAUUCACAAUUGUUUGUCAUUUUAAAAUAUUCUUUAUAAGUUUUCUUGGAAUUACUCAGGCAGGCAGGAUAUGAUCAACAAAAUAAACUCCAGAACCACAGUUGGUAUUCAUAAAAAUAAUCCAGAUGUCUCUCUCAUUCUCUUCAACAACUGAUGAAUAUUAUUCAUAUGGUUCUCCAGAGGUUCAAAGAGGUAAAGCUGCAUUGCUGUCAAAGUUGCUUCCAUUUACAAGAACAGUUAAUUUUGCAUAGCACAGUGUAAUGGGGGAAACAGCAGUGUUGGCACCAGAGCCUAUGGAGCAGACGAUAUUGUAUAUAAGCAAGAGAUGGAGGUCUAUGAUAAGAGAUGAUGUAGGGGGGUGGCUUUAAUGCUCCAAUUCAUUUUCUUUGUGAGGGGGAGGGAUGGUGUAUUGAAAGUUUCAUUUUAGGCCAGUUAACUAAUACUACCCCUUACUGAUUCUCCAGCCAUGCUCAAUUAGAGAGACUCCUUUGUCCUGACACCAGUCAGGAUUACUACAAUUCAUCAACUUUACCCUGAAGAGUGCUUUUAUACCAUCUAGGCCUUUCAGCUCUAGCUGUGAAAUGCCUACUCACAAUGUUACUGGUAGAUAAUUUUCCUUGUCUCUGUAAAUACUAGGCCACUCUAUGUAUGCAUCCAUAGCUACAUGAUAAGAAGAAAUCUAAAUAUAUAGCAAGUGUUAUGUAUUUGGAAAUUAAUUCAAAGUAGUUGUUAGCACAUACAGUAAGCUGAACCAGCAGUGUAGAAAUACAUCAAAGAGGAAGGGAAAAUUUUUUUGAGAAAUUAACAACUUUGAUGCAAUGAGUAGUUGAGACUGCAAGAUGAGAAUGUUGUGAAACUCCCCAAAUAACUUUAUAACAGUUUGGAAAAAGGCUCAAAAAAAACCUCAUUGGCUUCAGAGUCAGAACAAGAAACCACAGACAAUGCAAUAUAUCAGUUGUUGUAGCUGAAAGAAAGCCAGGCUUUGCCAGCACAGCUUGUAAACUACAGAAGGUCAAAUCACAGUUAUUCAAAACAUUUGCAUACACUGCUAUGAAAACCAAAUGUUUUCUCUUUAAUUCAAAUGAAAAUGAAAAUUAAACUAACAAUAAAAAAUGAAAAAAAAUAUUGGAGAAUAUGUUGACAUGCAGCAAAAAAUGAGUCCUCUGCAACAUUAAUUAAAGGGUGAGUCAUAGUAGAGAAACCAUUCAUAACUAGCUGUGAUAUGUUAACCUUUAGCUAGAUCAAACACUACUGUCAAGAUUUUAGCUGCCUUUCAUAAGUAUACUUGAACAAGCAGUUGGUCACCAAUUAUAACCUCAUGUACAAAAUGCCUGAGCUAAUCUAAAUAGACCACAUUUAAUAGUUAGUAUUCAUUUUUUUUUUCUUAUUAAAAGUAUAUUCUAAUGUCAGAAAGAAUUUCACAGCUUGAAUCAGCCCUGCUAGAGAAAUAGAAAAUAAAAAAUAUCAGAUUUUUAUCAGACUUCCUUUAAAAAGAUUAAAUACAAGAUUAAAAAAACAAAAACAACAACAACCCAAAACUAUUGUUUCCAUUAUGGAAAUACCUAAAUGAGUUUGAAAGCAGAAAUAUAACUACAUUCAAAAUAGGGGGCAAAGUACAACCAUGUAAAGCAUAUAAAAAAAGUGCUUUGCCAACUUUAUAAAAGCAAAGGAGCCGCAGGAUAUAAUGGUUAUAGUAUAUCUGUUACAGGAUAAAAAUAAAAUAUCUCAAAUUCAAAAUUCUUUUUAUGAAGUCAGUUUGAUCUUUGUAAUGAUUUAAACAGAAGCACAAAAAAUCCUACAGUGACCACAUUCAUAAGUAUUAUAAAAGAAAAUCACAACUCUAAGCCAAAGCUAGCAGAAAAAUAAAUUAAGUAUAUCAGUCAAGCUCUGGACACCAUUUAAACAGUUACAGAGUAUAUAUGUAGUUUUUUAUUUUGCAUAGAAUGUCUCCUUUUGACCUAUUGUUUCUCCCGAUUGCAGAUGGAUGUAAGU
ensembl:lncRNA